UAUGAAGAUGGGAACCCGCUGCUGUGCUGCUGCUGCCGUCCACCACUCCAUGAAAGGCUGAUCUCCUCACUAGGGCUGGAUGCAGCCCUAACAAAGGGCCAAGGGUUUUAUAUUUUUGAUUUCUAUUCUUGAAGUUGUAUAAACCUUAUUUUGCUUCUAAUAAAUAUUUUAUUUCAUCUCAUAUUUAAUUUCUGUGAUUUUAAAUGUGAAGUUUAUACAACUGUUCUUCAUGAUCACUAGGUAAAUAUAAGAUAGUCCAUGCUUAGGGAAGAUGCGAUGUGCUGCCACCUUAGAUUAGGGUAGACAUUUCAUGCCAACUGAAGAUGGAUUAUGCCCAAAUUACUUUUGUGAA
rnacentral:lncRNA from 1 species